rnacentral:lncRNA from 1 species
AGGGCGAAAUUUAAAAGCCUUCCAUCUCUCCCCCCAGACUGGCUCUGCAGUGUCCUCUCUGACUGACUACAAGGAAAUCUGUGCCUGGGUGUGAAAAGCGGGACCGGUGCUCAGGUGAGCCUGCGCAGCGGCUACGAGCCAGAGUCCAAUCCUGUAGAGGUAUGCGGAGAUGACUGCAAAGUCCUGAGCAGCCUCACCUCUUGCGGAGACCCUGCGCGCUCCUGUGACAUGCUCAGCAUUGCUGCUGUGCUCAGCUUUACCCCGCACACAGCUGUCUUGACCCUGCUGCCAUCUGAUGCUGCUUUUCAAAUUGCUGAAGUCAAAUUAGGGUAAGUAGAUAUAU